UAUUUCUCAUGCAGGUUUUUCUGCUGGCGUCUCCACUCUUUCCAUGGGCUCAGUUUUGCAACACCCUCAAAAUCUUUUUCUUCCCUUUUUUCCUGGUGUUACUUUCAGCUUCUUGGUUUGCUUCAGGGCUGUGAGGAGUCUUGCCCAACAGACUCUGCAUAAGCCCUGAGUGAUGCUUGUGGCUGAGCCAUCUUACAUGGCAAGACAAUGAUGCAGAAGUGUAGGUGGUUUUUGCAUUUUUUUUUAUUGAUAUUAGUAAAUCCCAGCUGGGGAAUCUCAUAUUUUUUCCGAGUACUACAGGCUGACAGGAGGUGGGACAGGCCUGGAGGGAAAGUAAAAAAUAUGUGUUCCUCCUCUUGAAAGGUCGUCAAGAAUUGGGUGGGGGGCGAUAGCUUGGGAAGGUAAGUGGCUGUGAUGCAGCUGGAGUCUGCCCAGGUGAGGAGCCAGGACAGGUUUUCUGAUUUAUUGGGGUCUGAGUGCAAGGUUUGCAACACUGGUGCUGUGCCAUAGGCAAGAAACCUGGCAGCCCUGGGCUGCUGCGCUGGCAGAUGUGUCAGAUAACACCUACACACAAAAAUGCACACUCAGGCAUGCACACAUACACUUCUUCAGCUGUGUUGCUCAUCUGAGCUCUAGUGUACAACCGCAGAGGAUUUCCCUGUUGAGAGCCAUGGGGUAAAGGACUUUGUGGCAUAACAUGACUGUCCCAAGAAGGGGAAGAGAUAAGAGUGAAUUUGCCAUCUGUCCCCAGAGUUAUGAAACGCAACCAUAACUGUUUGUAACUUAAGGCAGCUCAAGUAGACUGAGGAAAUUACAAUGUGCUUCCACAUGUUCUAAAUCUAGGGCUCGUCCUGUGUUCCUCUGUGUAUAACCAGGGUUGAAGCCUUCCCCUUGUUGUUUUUUUCCUUUAAUUUGGUGUUCUUUGCAAUAGGACUGUUCCUCUUAACGUGCCUAAUGAAAAACACGCUCGUUUGCUGACUGUGGCAGGAGUCUCUGGCUCGGGCUGCCCUGCACGUCGCCGAGGAGUCUGAUGCUGGGGAGGGUAAUGACUCUGGGAAGUUUGACACUGAGACGACAUAUUGGGAAUAUUUACUGGGCAGGAUAAUGGAGAUGAAUUAUUUUGUUGCAAAUCAUUAGCUAUGGGCUGGCUCAAAAUGCAGAAUAACGCUUGCUAUUAGACUGGAUGCUGGAGGAUGCAAAUUUUUAGAAAACAAAAGUGGAUCUUUUCCUAGAUGGCUACAUUUGCAGACCAUUAUUUGUGUUCCCUUUCGAUAAAAUCAAGGCAAGUCUGCCUUGUGCUGAAAGCCCAGGACAGUGACGGUCCCAAACACAGGAUCGCAACCCCAGGCAGGGUUUGUGGGACGUACAAGGGAGCACCACAGGCAGGAGGGGAGGGUCUCCCCUGGAAGUGGGUUGCAAACUGGAGGCUGGGUCCCCAGGGCAAAGGUUGGCCCUGGGAAGGGCAAGCAGUGUUUCCAGACGGGGUGGAACAAACUCAUUUGUCAUUGUCAUUUUUUAAUUGUUUUCUGUGUUGUACUGCUGAUCUUUUAAUAGGGCAUGAUCUGAAACAUGAUUCUUUGCUGUGGGUGGCGUGUGUCCCUGGUCCCCGACUGUCUCUGUGCAGACAGAUGGGGAGGAUAGUCUGGGGACAGGCUGCCUUGCAAGGACAUGUCAGAAAUCUCCACCCAUCCCUGGUGCUGAGCAGGAGAAAUGUCCCGUUCCUGAUGGGCAAUGAAUUGUGAUGAGGGGACACAUCCCCUUAGGCUGUGGUUUCACAACUGUGUUAACACUCUCUUAAAGACCAUCUUUGCAGCUGCUCUCUUCUUCCUUUUUUGUCAUGCUAGUGGAUUGUGGAGAUCAUCCAGGUGACAAAAUCCUUUUAUUUUUUUUUCUCCUAAAUGAAGCUUUUCCUCCCAAAUCACAUCCAUUCCCUCGGCAGAGCAGCAUGACCAGAUACCCUGCAGCAGGUAGAGCUGAUGGGCAGGGGAUGGGGGACUCAGCUGAAGCAGCCCUGCCACCCGCUAUGAGAUGACAGAUUCAAUGUCCUGUUUUCCUGCCUGUUUAUAGCAGAUUUGGGUGAUUCUCAGCCAUCUCUGUAAAGAGCUCAUAGGUCUCCAGGGCUUGGAUUUGCAAUCAGCUUGUGCUCAGUGGAGCUGGACGUAGCCAUGGUCUGAAUAACAGAAGCUUGCACAGCUGCAUGGACACCUGCAGUAUCUGUCCUGUGGGUGGGAACUGAAGCCAUGCAACAUCCCCUCAAAACAAAGCCAGCACGACGUGUGCCACCACCAGGAUGGGACAUGCAGCGGGUGCAUCUGUGUGUGUCCCAGCCCCGGCAGGAAGCCGACUUCAAAGAGCCCGUGGAGCUUAUGCAGGAUUGUAUCAGUUUUCAUGACACAGAUCUGCUGCAGACCAGGGAUUUGCCCUCAGUGGAUCCUUUUAGCCUGCAUACACAACCGGUCCUGAGUGAUUGAUAUGAAUUCAACCCAGCACCUCUGGUUUUGAAAAAGGAGUUUUCAUCUGGAGAACAACAUCCCAGGUUCUCCCUCCACACAUUCAUCAAAUUGGGGGAUGAAAUGGCCGCCAGUGGAAGAGGGCACUGACUGUUUACACAAACCUCGCUGCCCAGCUGCAAGCCUGGCUCUUUCAUCUGCGGCUCCGGUGUUGCAGCCUGGAAGGUGCGAUCCCAUGGGGACAUGGGCAGCUCCUGGGGGUGAUGCUCCGGGACAGUGUCAUCAGCUCUGCCUGGCCCCCUGCCUUCAAACACACCAUCACCCAAGCUGUGAAACAGGCUACUGUGUCUAACAGUGGGGUUUGAACAUCUAAGAAAUAAGGGGAGUUGUCAGCAGGUUCUGGUCUGAUUUUUCAGUUAGGGAAAUGGAUUCACUUGUUCUGGUUUUCCUACUUAACUAAAAUCUAGUUAUAAGCAUUUUCUUCCCCUACUUUUUUUAAUCAUAGAGUACUUUGGCUUGGAAGGGACCUUCAAAGGUCUAGUCCAACCCCUGUCAUGAGCAGGGACAUCUUCACCAGCUCAGGUUGCUCAGAGCUCCAUCCAGCCUGGCCUGGGAUGUCUCCAGGGAUGGUUCAUCUACCACCUCUCUGGCCAACCUGGGACAGGCUCUCACCACCCUCAUUGUAAAAAAUUUCUUCCUCAUGUCUAGCCUGCAUCUCCCCUGUUUUAGUUCAAGAACAUCACCCCUUGUCCUAUUGUAACAUCAUUCCUGAUACUGUUCCCUACAGGCCUUAAAUAAGAAUUUGACAUUGGCCAGUCAAAAUGCCUGAUACAAUGGUCUCAUAAGUUUACGUAUGACUGACACCAAAGCAUGUUUAAUCUAUGUUUGCCAGCAACUAGAUUUGGGUUUCCUUUGCUUUGCUUAUUAUCUUCCUUCUGCAUUAGCUCCAGUGGAAGUUCUUGUAAAAAGCAUUGCAUAGACAGUCAGGUGUUGCUGUGUGAGUCACUCAGGGUUUAAGGACAGGUAUUUACCCCACAGCAGACAGCAGUACUGCCAGCGCUUCCCACCUGGCCGUGGAGUACACAGAUGGGUGCUGGCUUUAGAAACAGGGAGAUGUGAGUUAACCCAGCAGGUCUGGAUGGAGAAGGUGCAGGAUUUGGCCAUGGUGUUUAGCAUGUGCCCGAUCAACAGGACAGCUUUUGGCUGGAGACCUCUUUGGUUUCAAAACACUUAUCUGAGGAAGAAGACUAAGAGAACAGGUGUACUGAAAGAGACAGCCUUGGAGAUGCAUUUGGAGUCAUCUUCGUCUGUUUGAAAACUGUUUUAAACUAAUUUAGCCCAGAUGGGUCGGUGCCCUGGUGGAUGUGUUCAGACCUCUUGCAGGGGUGUAUAGAGCCCUGGUGGUGUUGGAAGUGGUUCCUUGUGCUGUGGGAUAGGGCCUGAACUAGUUGCUGUGACACUACAGGGUUGCAGACAGACACCAAACUUAAUUAACUGAAAAAUUAAGAACCAGCAAAGCUCUUUUACAGGCUCAGGUGGUUGUGAGAGCAAUAGCCUCCCCCAGAGGGGGGCUGGGGUGCUCCUGGAGCCCCCUCCCAGCAUCUCUCUCCCUUUUCCCACUGCAAUGCUGCAUCUCCCAUCCCAGCCACUCUGGUUGGGAGCACUCCCUGGGCUCCUUCUCUAAGCAUACUGCCUUUUUAUUCAGGUGAAGCUGCAGAGGAAAUCCAGCAAUCUUGAAUUUCCUCACCAUGCUCAGGGGUGCUUUUCCCUUCCCCACUGCCUUUUACCCCAGACCGGUGUUUGACGUGCUUGUUUUGGGAAAGCACAAGGCAUAAAGCAUACAAGGAACUGUCUACAGCUGCAGGGAAGGUCGUAAAAAACAGGAUUACACCCUUUCCACAUGGCAGCCUGCUGCUUCUCUUCAUGGGCUGCAGAGGAGGCUGCAAAGACGUAUAUUCUUGGGAAAGGGAAGGGAUCUUAUAUGAACACGACAGCUCAAAAGCAAGGUUGGCUCUUGCUGGUGGAGCAGCUGAUGGAGCAGGGUUGGGAAGAGGCAUCCAUGCCAUGGUCUUCUGCAGGACUGGCUGCAUGGGGCUGUGGUGAGCUGGGAUGAGGAGGAGGUUUGCCUGGACAUGAAGCUCUCCAGAGGAUCUCAGAGUGCUGAUCUUAUCAUGCUCUGGGUGUAAUAGGUGAUGAAUGGAGCCUUAUCUAGCUUGUACAAUUAAUAUGAUAGCUCAACAUUUUGAAAGUAUUGAGAUAUCCAUUUAGGUUCCCUUUAUUCUGUCCUCUUUGGGUUUUCAGGCUUUGGGUCCUGAAUUUAUAGGUACAGAGCAAGCCGAGAUACCAAGCAGAACAAUUUCAAGGUAAAAGACCAUGCAAGUGGAUUAAAUUUUGGCACCAUUUCAUUGGUCUGUAAUGUAACAAACACUGUCUUUUAAGCAACAUUUGCUUUCAUUUACCACAAUAAAAACCUAGCUCAGGGAGUGAAGAUCAAUUUGGGGAUGAUCUGAGAUCUUUCAAUUUUAGGGACUAUCAGCACAGCCCUUGUAGCAGAAGUGAAAUGCCUCCCAUGGACUCCCAUGGCAUGGCAGGGCUGCUGUCCUCAGGAAAGGGUGAAGAAUUGGGCACUGGAGGGGGACUCGGCCCAGAUCACCAAGUGAAUGUGUGACAAAAAUCUGACAGGGGCUUUCACCUGGGGAGCAGAAAUCCCACACUUGCAAUACAACCCAGUGCCACCCAGUUGGGGAAACAACCUUCUAGGAGAAAAUUGCCCAGGGUUUCUGCUCAUGUCCAGCCUCUGGUGGUGGAUUAUUUUUAUGUACAGGAGAGAUGACCAGCUGUGACCUUCUUGAAAGCAAAGAUCUGUCAGGAGCUCCAGACUCCAAGGCGGGACUGUGACCCAAGGUGCUGGUCUCUCUCUGAGAGCUGCAACUUAUACUCAGAGAGAGACUAGCAAUUUAUACCCUGCAGUGAAGCUUAAAAUGUCUUUUCAGCAUCACUCACAGCUUUUUCUUUUAUCAGAUUUGGGUCCUUGCCUAAGAGACAGUCUCUGAACCACACGAAGGCACCAUGGUGAUGUAGUCGUAACCACGAGGUAGCGUUAAAUCUCUGUUUUUUACAAUGGGGUUUGUUUCUCCAGGGGUUCAUCCUUGAAUUCAAACCAGGCAAAGCUUUCUCUGCACAAUAACUACACAGGACUUGUAGUCUCUGUUCAGCAGUUUUUCUGCUGCUGGUGGGGCAAUGGAACAUGUGGCUGGUACAAAAAAAGCUGCUUUUGGCAGUAUUUUGGUGUAGGGCUGUAGGAAGCAUUUUACAGCAAAUGCCCAGCUUUGCAGUCAGCUGGCUGCAUGGUUUUGCCUUCACUGGUAAUUAUCAGCUCCCUGUGUCAUCAGAUCUGUUUCAGUGGCUUUCAAAGCACUUGUGCCUUCUUCAGUUAACGGCAGAGAAGUGUCGUCUUAGUCACGGACACUUCUGGAAAAAGAGCUCAUUUUUGCACCAACAGCCCUGUCUCCACAUACGCAUCUCAAAGGCACCCGGUGGCUCACAGCCUGAACACUGUUGCACAGGCAUUACUAAUUGACCCCUCUAAUGCAGGGAAAGCUUAAGGGUUUCAAAGGCUGCCUCAAGUCCUUGAAGAGCCCUCCAAAUUCCUGUCCUGUCUGCAGGGUGCUGCUGGCUACCUAUGCAAUGCCCAGUGUCAUGUAGCCUUUUAUUGUCCCCAAGUCCCAUUGCCAGCAUCUUAACCUUGCCCUGUGCAAGUGAGUUUGCUGCUGGGGAGCUUGCUUGGAGGGAAAAAUCUCUUAAGGAUAAGACUUAUGCUUCCAAUCAGCCUGUUCUGGAAAUCAAUAUGAAGCAAAAAUGACAGUGGGAUGAUCCAGCCAGUCUUUCAUCCCUAACGAGAAGUUCCUAAUGAGAGCCUCCUCCUUCUGCCAUGGGCCUGUGUCAUUGUGCCUCUCCAUAUUGUUGUAGCAGAGCAAAGGAGGAGUGGGGGGAAAGAUCAUUUAGCACGUGAAAGGCACCUCUUGUAUGGGGCUACAUGCAUGACACAGUUCAGCCGGGGUGAGCAACCAGCUCCUGCCAAACUGUAAUGUAUGAGGCAGAAAGGUCAAAAGUUCUCCUUUACAAUCAGCAAGAAAGGAGAAGCCAGGUGAUGGUCACUUAAUUUGUGGAUUUUUCCCUCUACUUGUCAAGAGAAGUUUGGGCUGAGGUGAUGGAUGAGUCAUCGGUUUAAGUCAGACGCUUGGUCUUUUGUCUCUGUUCCUAAAGGGCCCAAUUCAAGCCCCGGCCAAGUCGAUGGGAGUCCAUCCACCAAUGCCACCGAGUCCUUGAUUUGGAUUACGAAGGCUGUGGAGCGACUGGGUUGAACAGUCUGCCUUUCUGUGUGCUCAGCAUUGCGCAUCUUGGGUCCCCAGUUGCUGCUGUUAUGGGGCAGGACAUUUCCAGACCAGAGUCUUGCUAACAUUUGCCACUGAUUCCUCACAUUUCUUUCCCCAGUCCCUCACCAUGCAGCUGCUUUGAUGUGCAGUAGGAGCAAGCAAUGAGCAGAUCCUUGCUCAUGCCUUCCUGCUUAUCUGGCCACGCAUACUGUUAAUAUUUCCUCUAAGGCACUCAGCUCCCAUGAUAACACUGCUUUAUCAACAAAGAGCCUUGAAAUAUUUUGCUGGAGAAAGGGACAUUUCCACAGUUCUAUUGCAGUAUCUAUGGCCCCUAAUGGUUUGAUUCAGUGGGAUCUGUUCUGCAAUCAGCUCACACAGUCGUACACAAGCACAGGCCAUCUGGCACCUAAUAUUGUCCCGUGUUACUCAUUGUAUGUAGUAGACUAGGAGAACUGAGUCGGAUCUGCAAGCACGAAUCACAGAAUCAUAGAAUCAUUUUAGUUGGAAGAAACUGUCAAGACUAUCGAAUCCAGCCAUUAACCUAAUACUGUCAUUAAACCAUGUCCCUAAGAACCUCAUCUUUGGGUCAUUUAAACCCCUCCAGGGAUGGUGACUCCACCACUUCCAUGGGCAGCCCAUUCCAGUGCCUGACAACACUUUUUGUGAAGAAAUUUUUCUUAAUAUCCAAUCUAAACCUCCCCUGGUACAACUUAAGGCCAUUUCCUCUCAUUCUACGACUUGACACUUUGGAGAAGAGACUAAAAACCACCAGUUUCCUCAGCUGCUCCUCAUAAGACUUGUUCUCUAUAUCCUUCACCAGCUUCAUUGCCCUCCUCUGAACUCACUCCAGCACAUCAAUGUCUUUCUUGUUGUGAGGGGCCCAAAAUUCAACACAGCAUGAAAAGUUAGCUUGAAGUUAGUGCAGACAGCAAGGGAUGGCUCAGCCUCUCUGCUGAUACCUGGCAGGGAGUCCUUGACCUAGGUGCUUCUAGCAGCUUCUUUUCAUGUGGGACUGAGACCUCAGUGUGUGCAGUAAGUGCUUCCUCCUCCCAUGUCCCAGUGCCCAGAUGUGCAGGCUAGAGAGAUGCUCCAGUGCGCUCUCCCCUGCGAACAGAUCUGUGCAGUGUGGGAAAUGGAAUCACAAACGUGUGGAGGUCACAGCUCACACUUAUCUUUGUCCAAGGCCUGGGUUAGGUGCAGACUUUCUGAGUUUGGUAUAGAAGAAAGAAGAGGCAACAUGAACUUUCUUCUUUGCUCCUCUCUAUUAACCCCAGCUGGGGUGAACGUGCUUCCAGCCAUAUAACAUUGGCAUGGCCAAGUGGUUCCCUCUACAGAAAGGUAGCUGAAUAUAUUCUCCACCAUCACUGGUGUUGGUUGGCUUGAGUAAAAUCAUCUUCCUGGGGCAUCUACCACAUCUCUGGGCAACUUCUUCCAGUGUUUUACCACCAUCAUUGUAAAAUGUCUUGCAGACUGUGUGAAGAUUGUUUCUUCUCAGUCUGGAUGAAGAGGUUGGGGACUAUGGGAUUUUCUCACAUCACUGGCUGGAAAACCUGCAUUGUCUGGUCAGAGUCUGCAGACACUGUCACAUGCCUGAGUGCUCACAGACUGGAUGGUUUGUAUUGGCCUGGGAUGAAGUAACGCUAAUCUUGUCUCUGCUACAUGUCUCCUGGGAGACUUAGUCUGUUCUCUGCUGGCCCCAUCAGGACCUGGCAUAAAAUGCUAUGAAAAACUGUUUCUUAUGGGAGUGGAACAGAAGCUGGUUUUGUGUUUCUUAAUCAGCCUCUUUUUUUAGAGUGACACUCAUGGGGAGGACACAGUUGUGACUUCCAUUGAAUAGAUAGCUUGGCAUUUUGAUUUGGAGUCUAUGAAAGCAUUUUGGAACUCACCAAUUAAAAUGGUUUAGAUAAUAAGUAAACACAAAUAAUAAAUAUGAAAAAUAAUUGGGAAGUCCAUGGAGACAUGCUGCGCCUAAGACCAAGCUGGCAUUUGUAGUCUUUGUGUCUAGGCCAUGGCUGUUUCUGGAAUAUUGUAGCUCCAUGAGGAUAUUCUACUACCAGUAAAUGUAUAUGCGUGCAUAUUUUAUGUAAGGGACUGGAUGGAGUCCCAGAACUGUGUUUUCCAGGAUCCUGUUUCUUAAUGCCUGGGACCAUGUUCAAGAGGUCAGAGGAACACAGAUCUCCUGAUCAGAACAUGGGUGAAGAGUCCUGGAAGACUCUCUAGCCUUGGGGACUGUUCAAGUUAUGAGUGUUGUCUUUGGAUGAUGGCAAAAGUUUAAUAAAUGCUGCAGCUGUAGAAAGCAGCCUCACUGGAGAGCAUAGCUCUCCAUGUCAAUAUGCGAUUUACAUUUCCAGCCUGCAUGUAUCCAGCCUGCAUGACUCAGUCAAUGGGGUGGGCAGAUCCAGCGCUUACUUUGGCAGAGUAGUUCCCCAAAUCUUGUUUAAUUAGAACUCAGACCAGCUUCCCGGAGAUUGUGGGAACCUCAUUAGCAGCACAAAUAGAAACUUGAAGAGGCCAACUCAGUGGGAAAAGAUUGCUUGCUAAGAACUUUACUUACCAAGAACUUAACCUCUUCAAGAGUCAUGUCUCUUAGGUACAGCAGGAGGAUUUGUGUCUGGAAUACAAGAUCUCUUGCAAUCUUUCAAAUGUUGGAGGGGUUUUUUUUGCAAUGUGAAUUUAAACCUAUCGAAAUAGUAGACAAAAUCUUUUUGGCCUGACAGUCUCCAGUUGUCUUCUCUUGAAUUGGUUUCAAUUCUUGUUGUUUGUCUUGAUACUCUUUCAUUGUUUGGAGAUGCUGAUUGAUGAUUUGCUGUCCUCAUCCUUGUCUCACUUGGCGAUGUUACUUUAUAUUUUAUUAUAUUUAUAUUUGUUGGUCUAUAAUAAAUCCAGGAUUUUUUCAAAUUCUAAAGAUGUGCUACCAGAGGUUUAGACACCUAGCUCACAUAUAGACAGCUAAAUUUUGUUCACCUAAUCUCAGAUAACAUCCCACCUACUGUGUCUUGAGAAGGUUCUAGACAGGUCUCCCUCUGAAAGCUGAGCACUGUCUGCCUGUCUGCUUCAGGACUGGCAUGGAAGGGUGUUAUAAAGUACAAUCAGAGUGCUUGAAUAGUUGCUCAGUAAAUACAUGUGCUUGUGUGUGUUUGUGAGAACCGGAUGAAGUUUCAGGGCUGUGUUUUGCAGUUGUUCUGUUCCCUUUAAGUUUGGAGCUAUGCCGAAGAGGCUAAAGGGACCCAGAUCUGUUGAACAGAACGCGGCCAGAAGAGUCCUGGAAGAGCAGCUGAUUGUUCAUUUCCUAUCCUCAUCCCAGCCUCAUCCUGGCAAAGUUGUCCUAUAUUUCAGAGGAGAUAUAUGUGUAGGUUUGUAAAAAAAUCCUUUUUUUUCUUUUUUCUACCCUAAAGACAUUAUUGUCUUCCUCCUUCUUUGGCCUAAUCAGAUAUGGAGAGGGAAAAACAGGAUGACUGUAUCUACCUACUGACACAGCAUUGCUUACCAAGUCAUGAGAAUGAAUGAGGUUGGUGUUUUUAUUCUUUGUUAAUUAAAUGCAUCUCACCCAAUCAGGAAAGAAAUCAAAUCUCCAGUUAAAAUAAAGGAAGAUCAAAUAAACAUGCUGUAUGUUUUGAAAGACAAUAUUGUCAGUGGAAGGGGGACAGAUCAGGGAAGAAAGACCAAGCAGUCUUUCUAGAGGAAAGACCUUUUUCACAGGCAAUUCUUAUAAGACAUAAAAAAGGUUUUUUGCUGCAAUUUUCUCUUCUGGAAUUAUCCCAGGCUGAAAGAUCUUUGGUCUCAUGUUGAUGAAAGACAAAACACAGGGGCAAGAUUUCUCAAAUCCCUGUCAUUAUUGCACUGGAGAAAUAAUCCUGGUUUGCUGAAUUGUUUUGAGUCUUUCCUACUGCUGCCAAUAAAUGUAGCUUAUUGCAAUGAUUACCAAAAAAAAGUUUCCCCAGACCAAAUAUCCACUACAAAGAAAGAUGUUUGCUAAAAUAAAAGAGAGAGAGACUUGCUGCCUUGAUUACAGCAAACCACUAAAUGCCUGGAGGAAAGAUGGAGCACAUUGUAGUCCUUGGUGCUUCCCGCAGCCUCUGCUGACUCCAGUUUCCAGUGCUCCACGUCCAUAAAAAUUACUGCUGAAUCCACGGAUGAAUCAGAAUUUUCCUUUGUAAUAACAACCAAGAACACCAUAAGAGGCUGGUGGAUGUUUGGAGGGCCAUGGACAAUGCUGUUGGAAAGAGCCCGAGACUGCAAGUGGAACCCUCUUGCUGCAAAAUGCAUUCCUGUUUAAUCAGCUAAAGAAGCAAUAUUGAACAAGAGCCCUCCGACAGGCCACUCUGCAACAGGAAUCCAUCAGGUCUCAUCUCUCGAGCCAUGUAGCCUGGUAAAACUCGGCCUCUUGUGACCAGACGACCUCACUCAGCAAUGAUGGGAAUUUCCUUAUGUCUUUUAUGGACCUGUUCCUGCAUCAUGCAACGAUACGCAGAGCAGUGAGAGACGGGUGGUUUCAUCAUUUUUUCCAUUAUAAAAUACCUUUCUCUCUUCCCCCUGCCCUUCCCUUCUCCCCCAAGGACCAUUGCAAAUUGACGCAGAGUUGCAGUGGGGUAUUCAGAGGCUUGAUCUCAUCCCUGCUUAAAGAGAAACCCGAUGGGUUAUUUUUAACAUUUAGACACAUCUGAAAAAUGUGAAUGUGGUCUGUUGUUCUGUGAGCCAUGAGUACUCCAGAGACCCAGGCCUGAAAAGAGAAACAGCUUUUAAAUAUUAAGUGGGAGGUACUUGACUGACCUCUUGUAGAUAGAUAUGUACUUGCUACAUCAUGUCUUCAGCUGGGACCAGGGCCAAGUUGGGGCCUCUGCCUCCUCCAGUAUUGCUGACUUUAGCCAUCCCUGAUCUCUGAGGAAGGAGAGAUGAGGACAUGCUCUGUCUCCAGGACACCUUCAUCACCUUCCCUGGCACAUCCAGCCCGAAAUGCCAGUGGUGGUGCAGGAGGGGCUGCAAACCUGGAGCUGGUGGGCUGCUGGCAUGUGAAGGGAUGCUGGCAUCUGCAGGAGCUUUGCAAGGCUGGGGUGUUAGUGGCUAGAGCAGGAGAUGGUGGUGCAUGUUUCCAGAAGCAAAUGACUAGUUAUUUGUUUUAUUUUUUUUUUAUUUUAGUUAGACUUGCUUGUGAUUGAAAGCCAAACUUAUUAACUCUGUGGAGACAAACAUAAGAACUUUGGACCUACUGGGGCUAUGUGGGUUACCAUGCUCUUCCCUCCCUCUUCACCCCUUGAUAUAAACCCUAACCUGGAGUUUUGGAACACAAUGUCUGGUUCAUCCCCAUGACCUGGUUCAUCUUAGUAGUGCUGCCCCGUCCCUUACCCAUAGUGAUGAGGGCUCCUUUCUCCUCCUGCAAGUAGAACAAGGUCCCUUAAAAAGACAAUGUGGAAGCAGCCAGGAUCUAUUUUUUACAAUAAGGGUAGUAAAAUACUGGAACAGGUUGGCCAGAGAGGUGGUGGAUGCCCCAUCCCUGGAGACAUCCCAGGCCAGGCUGAACGGGGCUCUGAGCAACUUGAGCUGGUGAAGAUGUCCCUGCUUAUGGCAGGGGUGGCACUGGAUGAGCUUUGAAGGUCCCUUCAAACCGAAACUUUUCUAUGAUUCUAUUGAUGUGGGUGUGCAAAGCUCUGUGCUUUCUCCCCUAUGGCUUACAGAGUCCCACCAGGCUGGUGUUGGUGGCACAGAUGAGCCCAAAGCCAUGAUGGCAACAUUGACGGUGCCCUGAGACAUGUGCCGCAGCUGAAAUCUCUUGGUAAGCUGGAGGGCUGAUGAAUCACUUACACAAAUUGCUACCUAGGCUCUUCCAGUGUUUAGUUAUAUGGACUAGAAAGGUACUGUUAAAAAAUAAGAGUCUGUUUUUAUCCCAUGAGAGCCCUUUGCAUAAGCCUUUAGUAUCUGAGGUAGUGGGUUAUACAGCCCAAGAGUGAUUGACAAAUCCGACAUCAUUUCUAUCAUCUUGUAUGACAUCCAGUCUUGGUUUAAAUAACGCCACUGAUGGAAAAUCGCCUCCAGCCUUAUGGAUUCAGUCCCACCAUUUAAAACAAAACUGUGCCUCGUUUCUAACUGCAAAUUGUUGUCAGCUGAACACAGCCCUGGCUGAAAUCCAGACCUUAUUGUAUUUACAGCUUUUCAGUUGGAAGGCUGUGGCACGAAUUUACCUUAUCUCACUGGAGGAUACUCGUUACAGCCUGGCUGUCACAUCGCCGUGACUGCAACCAGUGUAGCCGUGUGUGCUGGGACAGGUACAGCAGAGGACUCUUGCUUGCUGACAUGCAUCUCCUGUAGCCAGAGAAACCACCUUUUCCCAAUUUUGUAUACCACCUCCUGUUUGGUGAGAAUUACCCUUUUGGAGGAAGGUACAACACCCCUGGAUGAGGAAGAGCUCUUCUUCUCCCGGGAUGGUGGUUGCUGUUCCCGUAAAAGGCAGAUGACUCAGAGGAGCAAGGGCAUUUUGAACACCAUGUGGUGCAUUUAGGAUGUAGUCAGCAAACUUUGUGAUGGUCCCAGUCCUUGGCCUUUCACAGGGCUGCCUGCACAGGGACUGCAGUUGAAGGCUUCAGUCUGUAGUGAAGAGCCCGUGAGUGUCUCUUGGAAUCGUAGAAAUAUUUUAGUUGGAAGAAAUCCUCAAGAUAGAGACCAAGCAUUAACCUACUUCUGUCUCUAAACCAUGUCCCUAAGAACCUCAUCUCUCUGUCUUUUAAACCCCUCCAGGGAUAGUGACUCCACCACUGCCCUGGGAAGCCUGUUCCAAUGCCCAACAACCCUUUCCAUGAAGAAAUUGUUCCCAAUAUCCAAUCUAAACCUGCCCUGGCACAACUGCCCUGGCCGUUUACUCUCAUCAUAUCCCUUGCUGCUUGGGAGAAGAAACAAACACCCUCCAUACUACAAUCUCCUUUCGGGUAGUUGUAGCACUUGGAAAGAGGGGUUUGUUAGUGGAAAUGUCAAGGAUCUGGAACUGUGAGUGGCCAGAAGUGCUGACGGAGAGAGUCACACUCAAUAAUGUCUGUGAAAAGGCUGCUAUGGGGGACCCUGGCCAGGGACCAAGAUUUCUUUUCUUCUAGGAAGUAGGAAAGCGAUGGUGGGGUCAGGAGAAAGGUGAGAGAGAGGCAUUGGUGGAGAAGUAGCAUAGGUUGCUCAUGGUGAUGUGCAUCUGCUGAGUGGUGUUCACCUCUCCUGGCCUCACACAGCGAUCCUGUCCUUGCCUCAGAGAACCUGGCAUCACUGCAGGUGUAAAGGAACAUCUGUCCAUCGUGCCAGGUGCUAUUAUGGAGGCCAAUGCUAAGAAUGGUUAAAAUAGAAAUGGUAAAAUGCAAGAGGAAGUACUUAUUUGACUUAGUGAUACACAAGCUAUAAAUCACCAAGCUUUUUAAAAGUAAGAUAACAGCUAUUAAACAUGGAAGGAUCUUUUUGAUUAGGUGAACUCUUUUUGAAUUAUUUUCUACCCAGCUAAUCUUUAAUUUCUAAGCUUUUCUCUGCAGCAGCUGUUUGAGUCUAAGGCAGGACACUGGUGACAGCUUCUGCUGGAUGAAGGCUGCUUCCUUGGGCUUUGCAUAGACCUUCUGAAUAGUGACUAUGUUUGAAAACUGCCUACCCGUGAAUGAUCGACGGAGAAAAAAUGUGGUUUGGUAAACCACAUCUGGGCUGUGGCAGCUGCCCAUGCAUGUUCCUCUGGUGUGUGGUGAGAAUGAGCUGUGAUGAUCUGAGAUUUAUGUCAAUGUAAAGGGACACAUCUUUUCUGGUAUCACUGCUGGCUAAAGGGAUGCUUCUGGACUUUGCUGCUGUGCUGUGAUUUGUGAAGCUGAGGCUUAAGAUUGGGUCUGGGUAGAUCUGCAAAAUGAAAAUGUCCGUCAUUGAUUUGUUGCUUGCCUGGAGGAAGACUUCUGCACAUAAAAUGGGUCUGCUGCUAUUGAUUUUGGAUGCCUGUGUUCCUGAAGACUUCACCUUUCCUUGAUGUGAGUGUCACUGUUUCAUUUUCCAGCUAUGUUGCUUUGUGGUGCAGUCAGUGCUGUAAGCUGCAGAUAGAAGGGAAGAGCUGGCUUUUGAAGGGCUGGGAUGCCUCAGUGUGCUUUCUGAUAUGAAAGCAAAUUCCUGCAGAGGUCAGGUCUCUUGUGUUAAUAAAUUAGGGGGAACUGAAAUGGAGAAAAAAACCCUGUAAACCCUUCAAACAAGAGAAAUGUCACCGUGGCUGGAGAGAUGCAAUAGAACAUUGUGAUGGGGCAUCUUCCUCUGAAAAACAACACUCUGGUCUCCAGUACUAAAUAUGGCUAUGAUAUGAGGGACAUGCAGACAGUGCAAUAGAAACUGUAACCUGCUCUCAGGACAAAAUACCACCUUCUAUAUUACAGAACUACUCUCUCCUGGAGCUUCUCCCAUCUUUGGAAAGCCUGCAGUAGUUCUCAGCGUUUUUACCUUUAAACGGCAAAUGUUCAAGUUUCCAGGAAGAGGUUGCAUUAAAGUGUGGACACUUGCAGGUGUUUUCUCAGGGAAGGUUCCACACUCACAUCAAGCUCUGAGUGAGUUGCUCUCUGUGGAUGAAGCCUCCCUUAAGAGGUGAGAUGAAAGGGUGUUGGCUGACAGACUCGAAAUAUUUAUGAUGGAUGCCUAUGUCAACAUAUAAGAUUUUUUUUUCCCCUCUACUGCAAGAUGCUAUGCACCAAAGUAGAACACAUGGUAACUGGACUGGAAGAAUUAGCUUUUGUCUUCUGUCUGCUAGAGAUCUGUGCUAUUUUGAGGCCCAACUUGAACUCAACCUGCCACAGACAUGGGGGACAUCUGUUACGGUCUGGCAGAAGCCAGUGAAGUUACACUAAUGUAAACCCCAAACUUCUGCAUGUGUGGCCUGAUUUGGCUGAAGCAGCAAGCAAAGCAAAUUACUUAUUUCCUCAUACAGUAAUGAAAAGCCCUUGUUCCCAUCGCAGGAAUGAUGAUGGAGCUCUGCCUGACACAUCUGGAAGUCUGGGCUGCAUGCAUCUGUAGGGAAGAGGAGUUGUUUCAGGUGGGAGGGAUGUCUGUGUUCUGGCUGCUCCCAGGGGAGGGACCGGGGCUCCAGCAGAAUUUUAUUUCAGCAAACUGAGCCUGCUGGUGGACUGGCCUGUUGGCAGGAGCAGGGUUGGCAGUGCUGAGAUGGAUAUGACAUGAGAUUGGCUUGUUUAGGAUGGGACCGGUCUCGUGGAAGUUGUUAGUGCCUUUACCUUCGUUUAUCUCUCAGUUGUACUCAAGAUGCCUUGUCUUCCACAUGCAACAGCAGCUCUCAGGAAUCUGCCUUUUAUGAAAGCUGGUACUGAGCUACUGAAACAGCUGUAUGCACAUCUGUCUGGUUUGGAGAGGGAAUGUGGAAAAGACUCCCAUGGUAGCCAUUGGGAGAAAAUAUUUACUCAUUUCUCGAGGUAACAUCUUUUUGUCAACCCAGAUUUGGGACACAAUAUGCACAGCUUCAAAAUAAAGAUCCCUUGUGUGCAAGCUAAUUUUCAAAGAAAUGCAGGAGAAGGGCUCUUAUGGUGGGUUGGUAACCUAUGUGGAACCAAGUGCACUUAAAAAUAAAUAAAAUAUUUUAAAUUUCACUUUGAGAAGGAGUAUCUCAGUGGAACUGAACCCAGCUUGCAUGCCCCUAUAGCAAAUGCAAAAGCACAAAGACAAAUGAAAUGCAAAACAUUUUCCCCUUCCCUCCCACUCCUCCACACAUCUGCCAGUGGUUUCUGACGUGCUCUGAUGUGAGAACAGACUUUGGAACAUCCAGGCCAGCUCCCCAAAGGACAGGGUGUUAGCACAUGCCUGUAUACGUUAGUGAUGAAAAUGGGAAGUAGGAGUGGGGAGGGCAAGAGGUACCAGGGUGAUGCCUUAACUCCUCCCUUCGUAGUGGAGGGGUGGGUUGGAGAAAGUGGAUAAAGCACUGAGUCCUGAAAAGGAACAUCUGAAACAAAUCUGCCAGGGGUACCCUUCUCUGCCUGUCCCUGCAGCAUGCACAGUGAUUUGCAAACCCUCUUGUUGCCUCCAUCACCUCAUCAGUGCCUAUGGCUUCUGUGGCUGACCACAGCACACGCCUGCUGCCUGCCAGCAACUAUGACACGUCUCAUUGUAAUGCCAUGAAAUGUUCUUUUUCAGCGCUGUUUCUCGGGUGAAGCUGGCAGUUGUACCAAGGAAAAAAGAAACAGCAAAUGUUCUCUAGGAGGUCUGGUCGCAGCGGCUCUGUGCAGUCCUUCUGCAGUAUUGGUGGAUAGAGGUGCAUGGGGAAUAUUUUAAACACAUGUAGAAGGUCAAGUUCCUUUCCUCACUGGCUAGUUAUUUUGAAAUCUGGAAUAUACUUGGGUUAAUGUUUCUCCCUUCAGUCUCUGACCCCAGCUGGAUGGUUCACAGUGCUGGAGAGGUGCAGCUCCCUUAUGAAAGAGUUGAUGCCCUAGUGCUGUGUGCAGGAAUGUGUCUCCCAUCCCUCUGUUGAAGGGCUCCAAAGGAUGGAACAUCUCAGCUGCAGGGAAACGUGCUGAGCGGCACUGCUGAGUGCACUCACCUCUUUGAUCGUGGCCAGAUUAUUGGCUUGGCACGCAAGUAGACAGCUGGACUUGGGCUUCCCCAGUGCAGCAGAGAGCAAAUCCGCAGCUCUGAAGGCUCAGUUUCUGCCUGGUGUCUUCAUUCACACCAAACGAUUUGGCUAAGAUGUCGUGAACAAUUCUGCAUGCUCAGCAGGAAAAAUGAGUGGGUGAAUAAGUAGAAUUUCAGCUCAAAUGGGGCUUUGUUGCUGCCUCUUGGCUUGUGUCGACUUCAGCUCCCACCAUUUCCCUGGCUCAUCCUGAAUUAUAACUUGUCAUGGCAUUUUGUGGAACUGACUCAAUUGCUCAUGAGGAUUUUUCCAUGAUGUUAAAGCCUGGAUUAUAGUCACAGAGUCUCACUUUUUCUGUAAAAGCCAUGACCUGGAGGAUCAUAAGAUGGAAUACAGGAUUUAUACAUGUGGGACCGGUAAAGUGUGUCUCCUGGAAGGGCCACUCAACUCCUGCACGACUUGCAUUAAAUUCUGCAUCCAGACAGCACAGUGGGAAGUAUAACUUGUUGAACUCAGUGAAGAUCUUGCUGCUCACACAUGAUGUCUGACAGCUGCUUGCAAUCAAUGUUUUUCCAAGUCUUCCUGGUCUCUGUACUUUGAUUUCAAAGCUCAAAAGGUGCUUCUCAGACUUUAUCAUAUCUGUAGUGACUUAUGUCAAUAUUGAGCCUAUAGAGGACAUAGAUAUUGUUUUUUUUCAGCAAACUACUCCUUUAAUAGUGAGCAUUAGCUUUCUGAAUACCAGUUCAAACUGUGUAUGAAUGGUGUCCCAAUUUAGACACAAUACUGCGUCUCCAAAGCCUUCUGGGAUGAUGUUGCUGGAAAAAUAUUCCUGUGGCCACUGUUGUGCCAAUGUUUUAAUCCAUCUUUUAAUAAACUGUAACUGAAGAACA